GGGAAUAGCUUUGUGAAAACGGAGGUAAUACCCGAUAGUACCUGGCUCCUGCAUGGGAGCGAGGUUAAAGGUGGGGACCGUAAGGCCUACCGCUUAAGGAUGGGCUCGCGUCCUAUCAGCUAGUUGGCGGGGUAACGGCCCACCAAGGCGUAUGACGGGUAGCUGGUCUGAGAGGAUGGUCAGCCACACUGGGACUGAGACACUGCCCAGACUCCUACGGGAGGCUGCAGUCGAGGAUAUUUAGCAAUGGGCGAAAGCCUGACUAUGCGACGCCGCGUGAGGGAUGAAGGUUUUCGGAUCGUAAACCUCUUUUAUCAGGGGAGAAAAAAUCAGAUCUAACAGGUCUGAUAAUGACGGUACCUGAUGAAUAAGCCACGGCCAACUCCGUGCCAGCAGCCGCGGUAAUACGGAGGUGGCAAGCGUUACUCGGAAUCAUUGGGUGUAAAGGGCAAGUAGGUGGCUUGAUAAGUGAGGGGUGAAAUCUUCCGACUCAAUCGGAAAACUGCCUUUCAUACUGUUAAGCUUGAGGUAGGAAGGGGGAAAUGGAAUUCUCGGUGU
rnacentral:rRNA from 1 species